AGUGAACGCUGGCGGUAGGCCUAACACAUGCAAGUCGAACGGCAGCACAGUAAGAGCUUGCUCUUACGGGUGGCGAGUGGCGGACGGGUGAGGAAUACAUCGGAAUCUACUUUUUCGUGGGGGAUAACGUAGGGAAACUUACGCUAAUACCGCAUACGACCUACGGGUGAAAGCAGGGGAUCUUCGGACCUUGCGCGAUUGAAUGAGCCGAUGUCGGAUUAGCUAGUUGGCGGGGUAAAGGCCCACCAAGGCGACGAUCCGUAGCUGGUCUGAGAGGAUGAUCAGCCACCCUGGAAAUGAGACACGGUCCAGACUCCUAAGGGAGGCAGCAGUGGGGAAUAUUGGACAAUGGGCGCAAGCCUGAUCCAGCCAUACCGCGUGGGUGAAGAAGGCCUUCGGGUUGUAAAGACCUUUUGUUGGGAAAGAAAAGCAGCAGGUUAAUACCCCGCUGUUCUGACGGUACCCAAAGAAUAAGCACCGGCUAACUUCGUGC
rnacentral:rRNA from 1 species